GUGUACAAAGAUUGCAUUUAGCCCUAGUAUUGCACAGUUCACUGUCCAAACAUGUUCUUGUUUUUUUUUUUUUUCUUUCCCUGACUCAUGCUGACCACAUUAUCCUCUAAUAUCAUUAACUCUCAGCAGAGAUACAAAGGGUCAAAGGGCACGAGGUCGAGCGAUACAGAGAAAAGCCGACGCAAGCGAGCAAAGGAGGAGAGAAAUGAGAGCGGUGCUAAUUCUCCUGCAAAGUGACAGGGUCACAGGAAACCUGGAGCCUAUCCCAGGGAGCAUCAGGCACAAGGCAGGGUACACCCUGGACAGGGUGCCAAUCCAUCACAGGGCACAAUCACACUCACACACUAAUGAUGCCAAUCAACCUACCACGCAUGUCUUUGGACUGGGGAGGAAACCAGAGUACCCGGAGGAAACAUGCAAACUCCACACACACAGGGCCACGGUUUGGGCAUUGACAGCAUCUCAACUGGAAUUUAAAACAGCCUCGCGCAUGCUCACCACCCACGCUAGGAGAUUAUCAUCAUAGCCCCAGAACACAAAAGAGAAGGAGAGAGAGGACAAAAAAACGGACUGAGAGAUUGGAAAAGGCGCCAUCAGUGCAGAUUUCCCAGACUCUGAGAGACAGUGCGAGGGUCUACAGCCUCAUCAAUCCGUAUAAACACACACAGAGAGUGAGAAGAUCUGCACAGUGUGAAAAACAGACGGAGACAGAGUGAAAGUCCUUCAAUCCAUCCAACACAGGAGAUCUCAGGAGAUCUUAAACCACCAUCUCAAGAUAAAAUAGGCAAAAACUGAAAACUGUUCAGUGUGGGUCAGAAUUAUUGGCUUGAAAAUAAUCUUCCAGAAUAGUAAUCUUCCAUCUAGCACUCUGAAAUGAGCCCCGCCUCCAGCUGGGACAUGUGCCGUGUUCAAUUUCCAGCCUCAGACUGGGAAAAAACAAAGAAGAUCCCACCUCAAGUCAGAAAGCCGUCCUCAACCCCAAGUUCAGCAUAUGAUGCCCAAAUGGCUGCUAAAUAAAACAUCACUUCACUACGUUAAAAGAGUUUAUAGUUGUAUUAGCUUCAGAACAGUCGGAUGAAUCUGCAACACUGAAUCUACAGGUCGCUCUUUUGAUCAUCAUGAACGCAUACUCAAUAAUGUUGCUAACAAGACACACUUUCAUGGAUGACUCCAUGGGGUUUUUUUUUCCCACUUAAAAAUGACGCAAUGCGUACUCCGCGCUUCUAAAUUAAGCCAAACACUUCAUUAUAUCUGUAAAAGUCAACUCAAAACAGCCCAGACUCCACUUGCAGGCAAUGGAGGGCUCUAAAUGUCACAAACCAACACUUUAACCAAUGUGAAAUAAGUGUUAAUAUGACUAGCAUUGGUAAAUCUGAAGCAAAAGCAUCAUUUCUGAUGACCUCCGUCUCUUAUUUCCAGCAUCACCAGUCAUCAGGAGUCCCCACGAAGACGUCCUGUCUUUGUGCUCACUUUCCUUAACAUCGCCGAUAAUUAAUGUAAAGGAUAAAUGUUGUACUAUAAAAUACACUAAACAAUACACUGGAAGAAGGACGAUAAGUCAGAAUGAGGAUAUAGAAGAGUCUGACCUUGCA